rnacentral:rRNA from 1 species
GAUGAACGCUGGCGGCGUGCCUAAUACAUGCAAGUCGAGCGAACAGACGAGGAGCUUGCUCCUCUGACGUUAGCGGCGGACGGGUGAGUAACACGUGGAUAACCUACCUAUAAGACUGGGAUAACUUCGGGAAACCGGAGCUAAUACCGGAUAAUAUAUUGAACCGCAUGGUUCAAUAGUGAAAGACGGUUUUGCUGUCACUUAUAGAUGGAUCCGCGCCGCAUUAGCUAGUUGGUAAGGUAACGGCUUACCAAGGCGACGAUGCGUAGCCGACCUGAGAGGGUGAUCGGCCACACUGGAACUGAGACACGGUCCAGACUCCUACGGGAGGCAGCAGUAGGGAAUCUUCCGCAAUGGGCGAAAGCCUGACGGAGCAACGCCGCAUGAGUGAUGAAGGUCUUCGGAUCGUAAAACUCUGUUAUUAGGGAAGAACAAAUGUGUAAGUAACUAUGCACGUCUUGACGGUACCUAAUCAGAAAGCCACGGCUAACUACGUG